rnacentral:tRNA from 1 species
GGGCCCGUAGCUCAGUUCGGUCAGCGUAACCGACCAAAGCGACCGGCUCAUAACCGGUCGGUCGCCAGUUCAAAUCUGGCCGGGCCCA